ACUCCUACGGGAGGCAGCAGUGGGGAAUAUUGCACAAUGGGGAAACCCUGAUGCAGCCAUGCCGCGUGUGUGAAGAAGGCCUCGGUUGUAAAGCACUUCAGUAGGGAGGAAGGUAGUGUAGUUAACACCUGCAUUAUUUGACGUUACCUACAGAAGAAGCACCGGCUAACUCCGUGCCAGCAGCCGCGGUAAUACGGAGGGGUGCGAGCGUUAAUCGGAAUUACUGGGCGUAAAGCGCAUGCAGGCGGCCUGUUAAGUCAGAUGUGAAAGCCCGGGGGCUUAACCUCGGAAUUGCAUUUGAAACUGGCAGGCUAGAGUCUUGUAGAGGGGGUAGAAUUUCAGGUGUAGCGGUGAAAUGCGUAGAGAUCUGAAGGAAUACCAGUGGCGAAGGCGGCCCCCUGGACAAAGACUGACGCUCAGAUGCGAAAGCGUGGGGAGCAAACAGGAUUAGAUACCCUGGUAGACUGUCA
rnacentral:rRNA from 1 species